ensembl:lncRNA
CACACACACACACACACACACACACCCCCGUUUAAUUGUAUCGCCCCCCCGCCGCCGCUUUUGUUUUACGCCGCUUAAUUUACUCAAAAAAAAAAAAAAACCAAAAACAUUUCCAUUUUUCUCUUUUUUUUUGGUCAUUUUAUUUCCCCGUUCUUUCAUCGUUCUUCCCGAUUUUUUUCCCCACUUCUCCCCUUUUCCCCUCUUUUUUAUUCCCCUUUGCCCCAUUUUCCUAUUUUUCCCCUUCCCUUUUUCCCCCUUUCACCCCCCCACGCCCCCCUAAUGGAAGCAGAGGGCAGCAGGCAGGACGCAGCGCUGAGCCCCCCCAGCACACAGUGCAAAGUCAUGAGAAAAAGCACAGAACAGAUGCUGGCACGGGGAUGCUCUGAGCGGAUCGUGAGUCCCGGGGCUGUGAUUUGUGCCCGCCAGCCCUAACCAGAACUGGGCUGUGGGGCGAGCAGGAGGCAGCCACGGCUUUUGGAGGGACAGAUGUGGUGGUUUAGCAGAGAAACGCAUGGGAAAUACCCCAAACCCACACCUCGCUGUGUGCGUCUAACACAGCCUGUGUCCAGGCAGAGCUGUGAGCGGCAAUCCGCACCAGCACGGCGAGCUGAGCGCAGCUCCUUCUGUGUGCACACCAAACAUCAGAACACGGAAAACAUCCGUGGGGAAGGAACGCCCUCGAAGUUCCCUUUGGAGAAGAAAGAAUUCACAAAAGCCAGCUUUCCACCCCGGCCCGCGGAGCGCCGAGUUCCUGCCCCGAAAUAUCUCGGCGAGGAGCGCUGCCAGCGGCUCCGUCCUCCUCCAGGACUCAUUUUCCUCUGUUUAUCUUGAAAAUAUUUCUGUGCUGAGGUCCCACCCAGCGGCACACAGCCCUGCACGGCCGCCUCCAGCCGACACACAGCCCUUGUUUAUGUGGAGCGGAGCCGACGGAGCGCAGGGCCAAUGCUGGAGGAGAGCCCCCCCAGCACAGAGCGUCCCGCCCCGCAGCUCCCCGCUCACCCACUGACACACAGAUGCCUCCAGUUGCUGGUUUGGGAGUUUCUCGUGGUUUAUGUGAUAAUAAUGGCAAAGAAUGCUGCGGUUGGAUCUCCUAGAGCUCUGCUGAGAGUUGGGCACAUCCUGGGGUGCAGCGAUGCUCCGUCUCUGGUCCACGGGUGUCUGCAACAACCGCCCUGCAGCGGGCACAGAGUUUUGCAAGAGGCCGUUGCAAAGGUUUCAGUGUGAAUGUGCUGGGCUUCGUGGCAGAGGGCUGGGAUGGGGACCUGGCUGUCCCCUCACCACCCCGCUGCAGGAUCUAACCCCGAUUUGGGGCGCCACCCCGAGCAUCCCCUCCCCAAACCGCUCCCCCUUCCCGCAGCAUCACGCCGUGCAAACACCCUCAAUCACAGCAACGCUCAAAGCCUGGCCAGCAGGAUUGAGUUACCUGCCCUGGAAGAAUAAAGGAGGCAUUCAGCCAGAGCUUACGCCUUUCCCCCUGCCAAGGCCCGACACCACGGUGACGGUCACACACAGAGGCACAGAAACACGAGCCCCGGUGACCCCGAUCUGCAUCCCCCCUCCUCCCACCCCACGGCACCGGGCAGAGCGCACGCUUUGCUUUGCUUGCCCGUCACGAGCUGCCUUAUCUUUUAAUAGAACCUUUAAGAGCAGAAGUCAGGCUACCCGGGCACAAAGGCGGCUAAAUCUCCUCCCGGGACAUUAAUCAUUUUUCUUUGACAUGUUUUGCUAAUUAGACGAAGCGUUUCCCUCGAUGGGGGGGGGGGGGGGGCUGGGAAAAAGAAAGAAAGAAGGGGGAGAGGUGGAAGAGAGGAAGGAGCAGGGCAGAGGGGCCGAGGUGUAACGCUGCUCCGUUCUUUGAGCACCAGCUUGCAGGGAGCAAACCCAGCCCACAUGGCUCCAACAUCAUCAGGACGUGGCGAUCACCGUCCCUGGAGGUGCCCCAGGCCGUGGUGGGCAUUGGGCAGCCUGAGCUGAGGGGGGCAGCCGGCCCAUGGCCACCCAUCUGUGCCUAUGGGUGUGUGAGCUGAGAUGCCCCACGGGGGGAAAACACAGAGGGUGAAGGUUUCUCCCCCCUGUGCAGCCACUGCUCGUGGAUGCAUGGAGCGUCCCAUGUGAUUUCUUAAAAUGCACCGUUUGUCUGGGAUUCCUGGCAAUGCCUGCUGCUGCACCCACAGACAUGGCCUGGCACCCCCACAGCCCACGGCUGAGGGCUCAUUUGGGGCUGUAGAAGGCAGCAGGAAGCCUCUGCCAUGGUGGCUUGUCAAUAGACCCUCUAACUGCAGGGACAGGGACAAGCUUGUCCCGGGCAGGACUGGCUCCUUUUUGCAAGAGUCCAACUCAGCUCCCACAGGACCCGAUGGUUUUUUUUUGUGGGGAACAGAAUAACCCACAGUGAAAUCGCUAUGAGGACGCACUGAAACAAAAUCCCGACAAGAAACCGCUGCCUGCUCGUGCCCCCCGGCACUGCAGAGCAUUCGCUCCCAUCGCUUACCAGCAGCUCCAACCCAAACCCUCCAUGUGCAAACCUUUGGGGCAGCGCUAUGGGGCAGCGCUGCAGAAAUCAAUCACAGCGCCGCACUCCCUGGGCGCGCUCCUCAUUGCUGCGGGAUGACACACUCUGCCCCUCCCCCCCCCCCCCCACCCCCCUCCCGCCGCCCCCACCACCAAAACAAAGCGCUGUUUCUAAUUUGGGGUGUUUGGAAAUCAUUUUCCAUCCCGGCUUCCAAACGAAACCAAAAAAGACAUUUGCUUUCCAGAGCACCGCGGAGGGGUCAGAGCUCUGCGGGAGAGCGAAAAGCCGCGGGAAAAAACGAGUGCUGCACCCCCACACCCAUUUCCAAGAAAAAUAAAAUAAAUUACAAGAAGACAAUGCUGUUAAAUAUAGAGCAUAAAGCACAGCUCGGCACCAUUCAUCAUUCGGGGGGUGUUUUCGCCAACAUCUCCCCGGCGGAUCCUGUUGGCUGUUGCAUCCCCAGGGGACGCGUUGCGGGCGUGCUGAUGCUGGCCCGGGGAGCAGCAGAGGGGCGGUGGGAACCCCGCGGGUGCCUCCGCCGCUGUGUGAGAGCUGCUGGAAAAUCAUAGUCCUCUCCCGAGUUAAAUUCAGCCCUGGGAGCGCCGUCGGGCCGCGUCCCGGCGCGGUUUGUACAGCCAGAGUGGGGUGGAAAAAAGGAAAAGCCUUCAAGUGCUGCUCUGCAGAUCCGACCCAUAGCAGCCAUGGACAGACCCAACGGAUCAGAUGUGAUCCCAAACGCGAUGGCAGUGAGCCCGGGCUAGGAAAGCAGAGAUCCCAAACCCACCCCGUUGGGCACAUCGUGCUGCACCAGCGCCGCUCUGCAGAAGGCAGCUGGAGGCUCUGCCCCUAUCCCAGCGCCGGCUGUGGGGGAUUUACCAGCACCAGCACGGCCCUUUGCUUUGCUUUCCGAACGAAAGUAAAGCGGAGCAGUUUGCAGAAGGUUCUCAUUAGGGAAACAUCUGGAGUCAGCCCUUCUCCCCCAAAGGGCAGCGGAGUGCUCGGAGGAAUCGGGGGAGGAGGAGGGAUGGAUGGCUGAGGCGUGUUUCGGCGUGCUGCCGGGGCAGGGACCCAAGGAAGGUCCCAGCAGCGCUCCCAGCAUCUGUCCCAGCGCCCGGGGGUGCCCGGAUCUGUCCGCUGGGAUGGAUGGGGUAAGGAUGCUCCCGGUCCCUUGAGGGACACGGGCUGGUGGCGCUGCCGUCGGGGGACGUCACCCCCUCCUCCGGGUGCCCUUCCCGCUGCCUUUGGGCGCUCACUGCGGAGGAGCGCGGGUCCGGAGCGGCGCAGUGCGUAGCGCGCGGGGUACGUCCCGCAGAUGGGACCGUCCCCUCUCCUGUCCCCAUCACACAGGCUGUAGUGACAUCUGCUGGGCUCUCACUGGGGAAGUCCCGCGGAACCCGCACGGCACGGACCCUCCGGCGCCGCACAGACCCGGAUGGCAGCGCUUCCCCUCGUCCUGGGAGAAACGACGGAUGUCUGACGGCCGCGGUGUGCCCCGACGUGCCGCCGUUGCUGCGAGGGCGUCGCUGUCCGUAUACGGAUGCCGUGCUGCGCCUCAUUAUGCAAAUAGAAGCAAUUAGAGCUCACCCAGGCUCUGCCCACGUGAUGGUUUAUGGCACUCGCAGAAAUCCUUCCUGCUACAUGAGGAGAAUGACAACGGCCCCGGGCUGCAGCCAGCGCACCCCAACCGCGGGGAGCUGAUGGCGGUGCCUUUGGUGGAGCCCCACAUCAGGGACCGACCCCAUCACUGCUGCCCAGAAGCGCCCACGGGAGGGACUGCCCAGGAGGAGCCCUCCCAACCCCCCAGGUGACAUCGUGGCACUGGGGACGGCUGCAGCCCUCAGCCCCGAGGACGGCACGUGGGGCUGCAGUGCCACGCGUGGCAUACAUCAGUGCAGCUCAGUCCGCCCAACCGGGGGCUGCCGUGGUUAUCCCACGGUCACCCAUUCCGGAAUAGAAUAUGGAAGGCAAACAUGUACAGAGUCGCCAGCCCACCUCACGCUGGACUUCCUCGGUGUAUUUUCAGUUCCUUGAGCAGGGAAGGGCUGUCCUGGGCCCAGUGCUCAUCGUGGCACAAGAGGUGUCCAUCAGUAGCGCAGGGUGCGGACACAGCGAGGACCGGAGCACAGAGAGCAGCCCCGUGGGGACACAGCAUUGGAGGCUCUGGGACUACCUGAGGGCCACUGAUGGGUGAGAGAGUUGAUUUUAAGGUGGAGGAUCUCCAAUAAAGGCAGAGGAAUACAACCUUACAACCUCCAAUGGGCACAGGGGAAGGGCAGAACUCACCCAGCAAGGAGCCAGCAGGGCACGGCCUGCACAGCCAACGGUGGGGAGGGCUGGAAUCCCCUCCUGGGUUCGGGAUGCACUCGGUGUGCUUUUAAAGGGGCUCUGGUUGUGCUUCAAAACAGCCUGUCUGUAAUUGCCAAAAAAAUAAUUAAAAAAAAAAAUAGACAAAACAACCCGCUACAAUGACUAAUUAGCUCGCUCCUGCCUCGUACCCUGUAAACAAAUGUAUUUGUAACCAAUUUGCAAGCACUUUGCAUAAGGGGCCCAGAACACUCAUGCCUGUUUGAUGCAUUUUGACAUUAAUUUGAUAAUAGCGGCUUAACAAGGAAUCCAGGCUCCCUAGCUAUAAAUAUGCUGCUUUUCCCCCUCCUUUUAUCUGCACAGUGAAAUAAUGUUGUUUUUCCCCCUGCUGCAAUAACCACCAUCCAACCCUUUCAUGAACACCCUUUAUGUCCUUUAGCAUUUGCAAGGCUUUUUUUUUUUCUCCUCUCUCUUUUCUUCCCUCCUUCUGUAGAAAGCAGGAGGGUUUUACGAGCUGUCCUCUUCAUUCCUGGUUACGGAGGGGAUGGAGAGGACAGCGAUGGUGCUCCAAUAAUGCUGCUUAUGGGAGAGUGGCUCAGAAGCCCUUCCUCCAUCCACCUGUGCUCCCCACCUGUGGCAGGGAUGCAGCUCAUCCUCUUUUCCCCCUUCUCAGCACGCUGUGGAUCUCCAACUCCACGCAGCCCUUCGGUGCCACACCAGCAGCAAAUGGGAGCACAAUGAAAUGGGAAUGGGAUGCUGGGGACAGCAUUGGUGCCACCCAGAGCACAGGUCCCAGCCCCAAAGGGUGGCACUGCAGCAUCGCCAGAGCCACCGCGUGUCCCACAGACACCACAGCCCAUCCCUGCCCCAGCAGCAACACUUCUCUCCUCCUGGUCCCUCCCAAAGCUUCCCAUCUAUGUGUAGAACCGCGGGAUGGUUGGGUUGGAAGGAACCUUAAAGACUGCGGAAUGGUUGGGUUGGAAAGGACCUCACAGCCCCUCAGCCUCAACCCUGCUGUGGGGCAGCGUGGAACAGUAAUGUGACUGAAUGGCUGCAGAGCUCUCACCCUGCUGUCUCCCGGCUCCCCUACGGCCCCCACCUGGGAACAGUCACAGCUCUGUGCCAGCAGAUGUGCCGCAGGGGCACAGCACAGCUCCAGGACGAGCUGCUCCAUCCCCAGCCCUCCUCUGGGAUUAUUAAUGCCCAAACAAUGCAGUGAGCCCCAGCGAUAAGCCAGAGCCCCAGCAGAGUACAUUCCUUCCUCAGCCUCCU